CCCUAAAUUCCCAAAAAUUCCCAAAAAUUCCCUAAAUUCCCAAAAAUUCUCAAAAACGAUUCCCAAAUAUUAGGCUAUGCUUUGGUGCUAUUAUAGCUAAAUAUUAAUUCCAGAUUUUGUUCGAUUGCCUUCUUGUUACUUGUGUACCAACGCACUCCAAUAACAGGCACGAGAACAGAUUUU